GUUCCUCCCUGGCCAUAGUGUGCGCUUUAAGGUCAGGUACAUACUAUGCUAGACCUCACCACGCGUUUUUCACAGCUUUCCAUGAAGGUGCUUUUCAGAUCCACUGUCACGUCUACAGCUUAAUAGAACAUUCCACUCACCAUAACCACUGCAGUGCACUGACUCUUCCCCCUCCCCCAUUGAAGUCAAACCAUUUUAGAACAAUUUGAG